CGGCGGACGGGUGAGUAAUGCCUGGGAAAUUGCCCUGAUGUGGGGGAUAACCAUUGGAAACGAUGGCUAAUACCGCAUAAUAGCUUCGGCUCAAAGAGGGGGACCUUCGGGCCUCUCGCGUCAGGAUAUGCCCAGGUGGGAUUAGCUAGUUGGUGAGGUAAUGGCUCACCAAGGCGACGAUCCCUAGCUGGUCUGAGAGGAUGAUCAGCCACACUGGAACUGAGACACGGUCCAGACUCCUACGGGAGGCAGCAGUGGGGAAUAUUGCACAAUGGGCGCAAGCCUGAUGCAGCCAUGCCGCGUGUAUGAAGAAGGCCUUCGGGUUGUAAAGUACUUUCAGCAGUGAGGAAGGCGAGGUCGUUAAUAGCGGGCUCGUUUGACGUUAGCUGCAGAAGAAGCACCGGCUAACUCCGUGCCAGCAGCCGCGGUAAUACGGAGGGUGCGAGCGUUAAUCGGAAUUACUGGGCGUAAAGCGCAUGCAGGUGGUUUUGUUAAGUCAAGAUGUGAAAAGCCCGGGGCUCAACCUCGGAAUUGCAUUUGAAACUGGCAGACUAGAGUACUGUAGAGGGGGGUAGAAAUUUCAGGUG
rnacentral:rRNA from 1 species